GCUAGAUGGUAGGGUAAAGGCCUACCAUGGCGACGAUGGGUAGCCGGCCUGAGAGGGUGAACGGCCACACUGGAACUGAGAGACGGUCCAGACUCCUACGGGAGGCAGCAGCUAAGAAUCUUCCGCAAUGGGCGCAAGCCUGACGGAGCGACGCCGCGUGAACGAUGAAGGCCGCAAGGUUGUAAAGUUCUUUUCGGGAAGGAGAAUAAGGGGAGCAGGCAAUGGCUUUCCGAUGCCGUGAAUCCCGGAAUAAGCCCCGGCUAACUACGUGCCAGCAGCCGCGGUAACACGUAGGGGGCGAGCGUUGUUCGGAAUCAUUGGGCGUAAAGGGCGCGCAGGCGGCGUAUAAAGUCUGGCGUGAAAGUCCCCGGCUCAACCGGGGGAUAGCGUUGGAAACUGGUAUGCUUGAGUACGAGAGGGGAUGGCGGAAUUCCAGGUGUAGGGGUGAAAUCUGUAGAUAUCUGGAGGAACACCGACGGCGAAGGCAGCCAUCUGGUUCAGUACUGACGCUGAGGCGCGAAGGUGCGGGGAGCAAACAGGUUUAGAUACCCUGGUAGUCCGCACAGUAAACGAUGUGCACCAGGUGUCGGGCAACAGCUGUUCGGU
rnacentral:rRNA from 1 species